rnacentral:rRNA from 1 species
AUACGUAGGUGACAAGCGUUAUCCGGAUUUACUGGGCGUAAAGGGCGUGUAGGCGGUCUUGCAAGUCAGAAGUGAAAUUCCUGAGCUCAACUCGGGCGCUGCUUCUGAAACUGCAGGACUUGAGUGCUGGAGGGGAUAGCGGAAUUCCUAGUGGAGCGGUAAAAUGCGCAGAUAUUAGGAAGAACACCGGUGGCGAAGGCGGCUAUCUGGACAGUAACUGACGCUGAGGCGCGAAAGCGUGGGGAGCAAACAGGAUUAGAUUCCCUGGUAGUCCACGCCGUAAACGAUGAAUACUAGGUGUAGGGGGUAUCGACUCCCUCUGUGCCGCAGUUAACACAAUAAGUAUUCCGCCUGGGGAGUACGGCCGCAAGGUUGAAACUCAAAUGAAUUGACGGGG